CGCGCGCAUGGGCGCACGCCAAAUACUAGUCUGAUACAGAGCCGCCUCGUCUCCCCCGUGUCGUCUCCUCCGAGGCGACACGGGGGCCAUCACCGACGCCCACCCGCCCCCCACGCAGCAGCCCAGCUGGCCGUCGCCGCCGCCAGACCCGACGGCGACGGCGGCGGCGACCUUCCUCCCUCUCCUGCUCCUCUCCAUCCGUUUUCCUCCCUUCGGGCUUUCUUCCCCAUCUCUUGUUCCUCAGAUCUGAAUCUCGUGUUCUGCCUAGUUCCUGUACAUGGCCAUGGUGGUGCUUGCUCACGGUGGCCUGCUAGUCGGCGUGGGUUGCAGAAGGGUGGAGUGGCAGUUGCGGCGGGUGCGGCGGCGGCGGACUCCAUGUCGUGCUUGCCGAGAGCCUGGGACUGCUACUCCGGUGACAGUUCUUCGCCUCUGGUUAUUCGGAGGUUGCCAGGUCUGAGCCAUCUUGAUCUGAUUCUGUCCUUCUUGGUCCUCUCCGGUCGCCACUUCUGCUGCUACUUGGUGUGUUGCUGGUGUGUCCUUGUGGCUGCUAGUGGUUGUGAGCAAGUGCCGUUCGGCAGGAUCACCUUGCGAAAGCUCUGUUCGGCUCUGCGCUAGCAUCGGCGACGGUGACGCUCUUGGGCGCCAUUACCUUGUAGGAGGUGUUGCUAUGGUAUUUCCUGUCACCAUGGAAAUUCUUCGGGUGAAAACCUACUUCUGGUUCGCCGGAUGGGCGGCGGCGGCACCAUAUGUGUCGUGUUCUUCUUGAGACGUCGCUUUGGAGAUCCAUCUAUGCAGUUCGGUGGCUGCGGAUUUCAAUCUGAGCUUUUUCCGGCAAUGAUCCUGCUUGUUGCAGGACUUUCUUGCUCGAGGCUUUGUCGAUGAGCUAGAGGUUUACGUGAAAAAGAAUUUACACACAUAUGGAUAUCAAGCUUCUAAGUAGGCGAAUGAUGUGAUGGAUUGAUAAGCGUGAAUACAUAGCAAGGUUGAAGCGAGAACGAAGAAGAAGUUUGAAACUUAAUCUUCUAGGUUUCUUCUUUUGUUUUAUAGCUUUUUCUUGUAUUCAAGAAAUUCCUCGUUUGAGGUAGAGUCUAAAAAUUCUUGUAACUCUUUUGGUUGUAGUCAUUCACAACACUACCGGAAACGCGAAGGGUCCUGACGGUAUAGACCGUCCGUCAGGAGCCCGAUCGGCAGAGCCCGCAGCCCGCACCAAAUCACCACGAAGGAACUUGCUUCUCAAAUCUUAUCCUCUCCGCUCCACCCCCGGCUCCUUAGAAACGUAGGCCACCGCUGCCACCAUCGCCGCUCACGCUCCUCCGUCCGCCUCCGCCUACCCCUGCCCACGAGGUCCCCUUCGCGCCGCCGCCGCCUGCCUCCAGGCCCACGCCGCCUCACUCGAACUCCUCUGCCUCCGCCUCUCUCGAGAUCCUCACGACCCUAACCCUAGGCGCCACCUCCGCACCGGCGCCGUGCUUGCCGGCCGGAUCCACGCCGGAGCCACCUUCUCCGACCUCGGUACUGGGUGGAUCUGCCCCGACGCCGCCGCAUCCUCCUCCAUGACCUCGGGCCGACGCUGCUCCUCCCCGACCUCGGCGCCGGCGAUGCUCAUCCCCGACCUCGGGCCGGCGCUCUCCUCCCCGAGCUCAAGCCAGUGGUGCAGAUAUGUGUGCUUCUCCACCCCGUGCACUUCCUUCUUUGCAUCAUUAGUUGGAAUUUUAAUUUCAUCUGUGUUUUUUCAGUUAAUCUCACCAACUACAUUUUAGAUUCUAUACUUUACACUUUGAUAGACUAUCACAUAGAUCGUUCCCAGAUGUAAAUCGGUCUCAAUCCUUUUUUUAAGCUCUCGGAAUCUAGAUAAGUUUCUACAAAUAUAUGUUGUAAAUUUUCUAGAGAUGUAUAUGGGACUACCUGCCACUGCAAUUGGAGUCAUUCUUUUCACAAGAGUUGCCAAUUUGUUUUCCCUUGCCAAGAUGCUUUCAACUAGGAUGAGUUUUGAAUAUUAGUUCCAAAAUUAUUCAUUUCAUUAUAAAUCUGUACACAAGCUUGCAGGAGAAUAAUCAUGCUUCAACCUAUAGGUGCCAUGAUGAUUUUUGUUUUAAUGAAUUUGAAGAACCAGACAUUUGGAGGCAACUAGCUCGAGUGUACUUGCAGGAGUGCUGCAUUUGCCUCAGCCUAUGAUAUGCAGAGUUCCAUGACUUCUGUCUGUUAUUCAAUUAUCAAGGUACAAAAAUACAAUAGGAUGGAGUUAGCACAAACUGUCAUCCUUUAUAUCACAACAGUUGAACUUCAAGGUUAACUUCAGUUACCUAUUGUUUGAGUUAAUAAUUAUUUGAGCUAUUUACAAGUUCAUAAAACUAGCUGGGAGUAAGAGAUACAAUGAGUUGUAUAUAGAAUUUUAAGCACUAUGAUAUAUUAUAAGUUCUCUUAGAUCUGCAAAGAUGUAUACGUACUGUAGUAGUCAUUUUUAUGGAAAUAACUUGAUGGAUGGCAAUGUGAUCUGUAUGUACAAAUUGUAGGCAAUGUGAACUGAGAAAUCUUGUAUGCAGUUCUGGAUG